rnacentral:rRNA from 1 species
UGGGGAAUAUUGGGCAAUGGGGGGAACCCUGACCCAGCAACGCCGCGUGAAGGAAGAAGGCUUUCGGGUUGUAAACUUCUUUUACCAGGGACGAAGGACGUGACGGUACCUGGAGAAAAAGCCACGGCUAACUACGUGCC